CUAGACAAAAUUUCCUUUAAGAAAAUACGCUAUUUUUGAAAUUUAACGAACAUUAAUAAUUACAGGAGUGUUGCACGGGAGUUGGUUUUGUAAACGGUAGGGCGCACGCGGUCUACACGAAUUUUUAAAACGGGCACGACCGUGUUCGACCGGAAUCGUACCCUUCCCCUUUUGGCCGAACCGAAAAUAUACAGGCGAGAAUGAUUG